GUGAACGCUGGCGGUAGGCCUAACACAUGCCAGUCGAACGGCAGCACAGUAAGAGCUUGCUCUUACGGGUGGCGAGUGGCGGACGGGUGAGGAAUACAUCGGAAUCUACUUUUUCGUGGGGGAUAACGUAGGGAAACUUACGCUAAUACCGCGUACGACCUACGGGUGGAAGCAGGGGAUCUUCGGACCUUGCGCGAUUGAAUGAGCCGAUGUCGGAUUAGCUAGUUGGCGGGGUAAAGGCCCACCAAGGCGACGAUCCGUAGCUGGUCUGAGAGGAUGAUCAGCCACACUGGAACUGAGACACGGUCCAGACUCCUACGGGAGGCAGCAGUGGGGAAUAUUGGACAAUGGGCGCAAGCCUGAUCCAGCCAUACCGCGUGGGUGAAGAAGGCCUUCGGGUUGUAAAGCCCUUUUGUUGGGAAAGAAAAGCAGCAGGUUAAUACCCCGCUGUUCUGACGGUACCCAAAGAAUAAGCACCGGCUAACUUCGUG
rnacentral:rRNA from 1 species